GCAGGCUUUAUAGUUUGCCCAACCAGAAAGGGAUAUCUGGUUGGCAGACCUAUACUGUCGCAUGGCAAGCCAUAUAGGACCGAGAUCUGUCAGGUUUCAGCCUAAGUGGAGCCUGCCACAUAGCAAAAUGAAGUUUUGAAUAAUUCUGGACUACCAAGAGGAUGUACAGACUAAUGGCUAAUGAGAAGUUGCAUGGACAUAUGGUAUGCAAUUUCAUGACAUGGUAACUGAUCAAAUUCGGGUCUGAAAUACAGCACGUGGCCAAUCCAGACCAGUCCCUGAAUAUCCAACUUCAGAAUAGUUACAUCAUUCUUCCAAGUGGUGCAACUAGGUGUGCCACCCAUGAAUCUCUUUACCUCUCUUUUUUUUUUUUGUUGAGAAAUUGGUAUGAAUUUAAGCUUAAACAAAGAUGAAGCUGAAAAUGAUUUUGUAGCCUGCUGCAGGGUGGAAAGUGGGUGAGAUAUGGUUAUGAACUUAUGAUAAAGUGAUCGAUGACAAGGGGCAGCUAGGAAGUCUAUCAUACUUGUAACUGAUUAAAGAAAAACACAGACAUCAUCUCA